rnacentral:lncRNA from 1 species
CAAAGUUUGGCCCCAUUUUCCUCAAUUGCUAACCAUUCUAAGCUUGAGGUCUUUGAGCUCAUCGGUGAUAACAAUGGAUUAAUGGUUGAAAUCGAUGAUCAUAAUUGGGUUCCACGCUUCCAACUGAAGAUCUUCCGUCUUUCGGGCUGUUCAGUUGAUGAAGGAUCCAUGUUCAAAUUUCUUUCUUACCAAUAUGAUCUUAGAGUGAUUGAUCUCUCUGAUAACAACUUGGAAGGAGAUUUUCCUACUUGGUUGAUGGAGAAUAAUACAAGAAUGGUAGAACUACAUUUGAAAAAUAAUUCGUUCAAAGGCCAAUUUCCUCUUCCAUGUCGUCCUAGCACGUUCAUCUCCGUUGUUGAUAUUUCCAACAAUCAGCUUCAAGGACAUAUCCCAUCAAACAUAAGUGUCUAUCUCCCAAAUCUGAAAUUUCUGAAUCUCUCAACGAAUUCCUUCAAAGGCAGCAUUCCUUCUUCAUUCGGUGAUAUGAAAAUCUGCUCGUUUUGGACCUGUCAAACAAUGAACUCUUGGGAAACAUACCUGAUAGCUUGGUCUCUGGCUGCUUUCUUUUGCAUGCUUUAAUAUUGUCAAACAAUAAUCUUAGCGGCCGAAUGUUUCCAAAGUUUUCUAAUCUGACCAGCUUAGAAAUUCUGCAUUUGAAUGGGAAUCUCUUUCCUGGAGAAAUCCCAGAUAGUUUGUUCAACAGCUCAUACUUGAAGAGUCUAGAUGUUAGUUAUAACUCCUUAUCAGGUAAGCUGCCAACUUGGAUGGGAAAUUUGACUUAUCUGCAAACACUUUUGAUGGCCGGUAAUCAUCUUGAAGGACCGAUUCCCAUUGAGUUUUGUUCACAUGAGAACAUUGAAAUUCUUGAUCUUUCGCAAAACAAUCUCUCAGGCUCUAUCCCAUCUUGCUUUAGCCCAAUAUCCCUUCUUCAUGUAUACCUGCAUGACAACAAGUUCACAGGACCAAUAACAAAAUCCUUCUCUCAAAGCUCAUCUUUGGUGACUCUAGACAUCAGAAACAACUACUUGACUGGAGGUAUUCCCAGUUGGAUUUCCAAUCUCAGUUUGAGCAUUCUUCUUCUGAAAGAAAACCAGUUGGAAGGAAGAAUACCUGCUGAGUUGUGUCAGUCGUCCUUGAUGACUAUACUAGAUCUUUCUCACAACAAUCUCUCAGGUUCUAUUCCUUCUUGCUUGAACAAGAUACCAUUCAAAAUAGGGUUUCGUUCUGGAAAAUUUCGUUUACCUGUUUUUCUGGAUAUUGAUCUACAGUUGUCAGCGUAUUCAUAUCAAAGCAGCUAUAUAGAGUUACUUCAAAUACCUUCUUAUGCUAAACCUGUAAAUUAUGAAAUAACCUCCGUUGAGUUCACAACCAAGAACAGGUCUAACUUCUACAUGAACAACUUUUUAUACAACAUGACUGGAAUUGAUCUGUCUUGGAACAAAUUGACAGGCAGAAUACCACCCGAAAUGGGGGAGCUAAAGCGAAUCCGUUCGCUAAAUCUUUCACAUAAUGAGCUGAGUGGUUCAAUUCCAACAACCUUUUCGGGCCUAAAGUACAUAGAAAGCUUGGACCUUUCUCACAACAAGUUGACAGGAGCAAUUCCUCAACAGCUUACUGAACUGACUGUGCUGGGAUAUUUCUCUGUUGCUUACAACAAUUUAUCUGGUAAAAUACCUGAUAAAGCGCAGUUUGGUACUUUCGUGGACAAUAGCUAUGAGGGAAAUCCUUUUCUUUGCGGGUCAAUAUUGAAGAAAGACUGUAACUCAACUCUGGAAGAGUCACAGGGGGGACACGAGGAGGGAGAGAACAGCUUUAUGGAGAUGCUGGCUUUUUACUUAAGUUUUCUUAUGGCUUAUGCAAUAAUGGUGGUGGUACUUAUUGCUACUCUUUACAUCAACAUGGAUUGGAGAAACAAGUGGUUUCAUCUAGUUGAUGCUUGUAUCAAUACUUGUCUUUGUAAGUUGACCAAUCAAAAUGAUUAGAAUUUCAUCAUUGUUUAAAAGAAAAUGCCGAGGGAAGCCGAAGGCAUGUACCUAUGUACUAGCAAAACACAAAGCCGAAUGGGUAAAAUCCCAUGAUAUUAAACUUUUGGUGAUUGAAGCAUAAUUGGACACUAAACUUCUAUUUUUUUCUUGUUAAAAACAAGGUAGAAAUUGUAGAGAAGCAAAGAAGUAAGCGUAUGUCAGAGAUUGUCAUCGAAAUCAACUCAAAUUUAUAUUUGUAAAAAGGUUUUUUUGUUGUGUUGAGAAAGUGUUGUAUACAAGUAAAAUAGGAUGUGUUGUGAGAUAACGGAGAAAAUGAUUGGAGUAAACUUUAAAGUAUUGACUGCAGCUAUGGGUGAUGAUAUUUGAUAAAUAAAAGCUGAGUAGAGAAGAGAAUGAGAUUAAAAAAAUGAUUUGGAAAGAGUAAAUUACAGAGGGAACUGAAUAAAUUUGUUAAAAGUUUUUAAAAGUCUUAUGAAUCAUUUAAAUUCUUAUUUAUAGGUUUCAAAAAUAAGAGUUAUAUAUUUUGAGUAUUAAAUGAGAAUAAUAAUAAACAAUGAGAUAAUUAAUUAUUACAAAAUAUAUUAAUAUAUUGUUUAAUGAAAGUGUAAUUAAUUUUUUUGUGAUACACAUAAUGAAUAUAAAAAUUCACUAUUUUUUUUUUUGAAAGAAAGGAAAAAGCAUUUAAGAAAAAGUUAAGAUGAAACUUUUUAAUUAUCUUCGUAUUUAAUCCACUAAAUUAAACUUUCUAAAAUAUUUUAAUAACGAGAUUAAUCCAAAAAUUUUAUUAUAUUUUGAGGUUAUUUUCACUCAUUUAUUUGAUGAAGUGUUUUUUGUGAAGUAAAAAAUAAUUUUUAGUAAAAGAGUUUUUGAUGAAUAAUUAUUUCGUAAAAUAAUAUUUAUUAAAAUAAUUUUAUUAUAUUUUUUAAUUUAUUUUCAAUUUUAAUAACUCUAAAACAAUAUAUAAAAAUAAAAUAUUAAUAAUCAAAAUCAAAUAUCUUCAAUAUUUAAUUGAAAUUCAACUGAAAUUUAAAACCAUAGAUUACAAAUGAAAUCACCAUUCACCAGCCAUUAGAUGCAUUUAAAUGCUCGCAUUUGAAUUUAGGAAAAACAGUUCAUUAAUUACAAAUUUUUUUAAAAUAGUAAUUUAAUUAUUUUUAAUCAAUGUUUAUAAACACUUGUUAAUCAGAUACACAUUCCAUGACAUAACACUGGCUAGGAGAAUGCAGAUUAACAGAGAUAUUAUUGAUGACAUAUGAUGACCAGUCCAUCCAGGAAAUUCCAUUUUGUAAGUUGCAGAUUGGUGGGCUUGGUUGUAAAGGAAACAAUAAAAUGUUAAAUUCCAUAUUUUCCCCCACUUUCCAAAGAAAGUGACAUCACGCCAACGCAACGGCAUGACAUAAUUGCACGGUCCAUUGAACGUGCUUAAAUGGAAAGUGGCUUUACCAUUUCCCCCACAAAACGUUGAACCGACAACUAAACCCCGAUAGAGAAAGAAAAAACAAAGAAAAAUGAUAAUAAUUGCAGAAAUGAAAAAAAAAUAAAAAAUUUAUUUCAUUUCAUUUCGUCACGCCCAUCGGCGUUUAAUAACAGUCCUUUCUUUUAUUCCGCUUCGAAAUUAGCGUUAAUUUCCUAAAAAUUAUUAUUAUUAUCAGAUUGUUUUUCUUUGCUAAUCUUUUUUUGUUUGAUUGCUAACAAAAUUUUACAAGGAAAUAAUACAAAACCACAAAGUUUCAGCAACAUACACAACGUUACUAAGCAAUGGGGCCUGAAAAGAGAAUGGAUGUCUGUCAUUUUGUUACUUAUUUUGACAUUUAUUUUCAGGGAAAGUAAAUGGAAGUGAGGCAAAGUAUGUGGUGGAGUUUUCAUGGGGGAUUACUAGGAGGUCUGUCGUGGAGGGGCAGAUUGGUGAACCUGUGCCUGUGGAGAUCGGUACUUCAUCCCUAGUUUCGGCUGCUAAGAGGACUUACAGAAAGGACCCUCUUAAUGGGUUCAAGAGAUACUCAGGAGGAUGGAAUAGCGGGGAGCGCUAAUACUAGGUUAUAAGCUUACCUUAACCCAAGAGCCGAGAUGACCCAUUUUUGAUGAGUUUUUUUUUUUUUUUUAGUUUUCUCUUUUCGGACAUGAUCGUGCCAUCUACUCAUGUCCAGUUAUUUACCACUUGCCAGGAUAGGAUUACUCUUGGACCCUUGGCCCUGGUUCAAACUUUCAAUGCUGGCACGUGGGUGAUUUUACAUUUGCAUCCUUCAGAAUUUGUGAUUUUGGCACGUGAGGGUAUAAUUACUAGUCAAACAUUCUGGUUAAGGUCCCCCAUGCCCACCAUACACCCUCCUUUUUCUUUAGUUGUAUUUUUGUGGCAAAAUGGUAGUGAAAUUAGAGAGUGGAUAUUGAAAAUAUAGUUUCCAAUUGCAGUCCAGAGGAGAUAAUUUAUUUCUGUAGAUAUGUAUAGAGUUUUUUUUUUUUUUUUUUUGUUUGGCCGGAAAAAAAGAAUGGAUAUGUUUAGCAUAACAUGGAUGAUACUAACUUUUUCUUUCUAAUCUAAUACACAAUCAUAGCAGUAGUCCAAUACCUACAUUUAUGUUUGCAGAAAUGCUGAGCUGGUGCUAGAAAUAGUAUGCCAUUAGCCCAUUACUGCAGCAAUUUCCUUUUGGAGUAAUUUUUCCAUGCAUUUUUCAUUUAUGCAGUAGAUAUUGAAGCAAAUAGGAUUGAGACAUGGUUCAAGCUUUGCGGAACAAGGCAGGUCCUUGAUGCUGGAUGAUGUGAAGUUAAGAAUGUGACUUUGUAAACAAGUUGAUUGAUUCUUAGGUAUACCAUAUCUGUCUUCCCUUGUGGAAGCUGGCGAAUCAUAGAUGAACAUGAUAUCUACCAAAAAGUUUGGUCCUUUCACACUACAAAAUUUUUCUUUGUACUUUGAUUUAGCUCUAGUGUUGCACUAAGGUGUUUUUUUUUUUUUUUUUUUUUUCGAAUAUUUUCAUUUGCGUACCCUUUUAUCCAUUUUCGUGUCCUAAUGCACGUUGGAUUAAUAUGUAUUGGAUAUAUUAGCAGCUUAGUCAGUAUCAGUUUAAGAUUAUGUCCUAACUAACUCAGUUCCAAUUUAUGUUUAAAUGCAGUCCGUGGCUUUUACUGCCACUUUCUCUGUUUGCAAUUGCUGAAUCUGGUUUGGUUGGCUUUGGUAUGCUUAUUGCUCAUCUUCUCUGUUAUUUCUGUUGUAAAAGGCAGCCACAUGAUCUUCUCGAAUUGCUUAUGCAAUCUCUCUCAUUUUCCUGGUGUUGUUCCCAGUUGCUGCAAUGUAAAUGCAUCUUUCUCUCGUGUCAUAUUCAUAUUGAAUAUUGAUAUGUGUCAUGAUAGUUCCUAAAUCCUAAUGCUUUGCUCUUUGGUUUUAGGCUUGGCUGCUUUGUCCUAUAUGUUGGCCAGGGGAGGUUUCAUAAAAGCACUACAAAAACAUUAGCAUGUGUUGUAAAUCAGGCAGUUAUGAGUAUCAGGAAACUAAAGGAUGUGUCGGACUCUCUUGCGACAGCUAAGUAGAUCGGAGUUGAUAAAAAUUUUUCUACCUUCUUAUGUCCAAACUGAUAUUGAUGAGAUAGGAGCAAAAAUUAAUUCUUCUGGAAGCACUCUAGCCGACAAAACAGUGGAUAAUUCAGAUGAGAUCUCCUAGAUUCUGUGUAAGUGAAGGAUUCUGAAGUUUACCUAUAUGUUUUAGUGCUUCCAAGAAAAGCUUUCAUUAAAGCUGUAUUUCAAUGCUGCUACAGGAGAGUGGCUCUUAUUGCAAUAGCCGCUAUUAUGCUUCUAUUGACAUUUCUUGGAUUCUGCAAGUCCCUGUGGUUUCUUUAGUAAGAAUUCGCGAAAGUUCGUUUUUUCAGAAUUUAGAAAGUUUGUGACUUCAUUUAUUUAUACAAUCUAAUUUUGUUUAAGUAUUCUCAAUUUUUGGGAUGCAGCUUCUUGUUUACAUGUGAGUAGGAUGGAAUUUCAUUCUCCAAUUUUUUCUCUGAUUUUGUUUGGAUUCAAACGAGGAUCUUUCUUAACAGAAGGGUUUAAAACUAUAUCUGUUUCAGUCUGGUGAUACUAGGAUGGAUGCUUGUCACUGGAACAUUCCUUGUUCUCCAUAAGUAAGUUUUAGCAUAGCUCAACCUAUAUCUCUACAUCUUACUGCUUCUAAUUUUACAUCCUAAUUGAUGUUUUGUUUUUGAUGUGCGAGUGCGGCUGCAGAUACUUGUGUUGCAAUGCAUGAUUGAAUCCAAAAUCCCACUGCUCAUGCGGCUUUAGAUGAUAUACUGCCUUGCGUGGACAAUGCUACAGCCCAAGAAACAUUGUUGAAAAGCAGGGAAGUUACCUCUCAGCUUGUUGAAGUUAUUAACCAGGUCAUAACCAACGUGUCAAACAUUAAUUUUUCACCUAACUUUCCGACCAUGUACUUCAAUCAAUCCGUUCCAUUGGUGCCGGUACUCUGCAAUUCUUUAUUUCCUGACCUUACAGAUCGAAUUUGCACUGCCGGUGAAGUGAAUGCAGAUAAUGCAACAUAUGUAAAUUCAUUGGACCCAGCAACAUCAAUGCAUUAUUAUUAACAAGCAAACAAACUUGAACUGAGAUAGAAAGUAGGCUGCCAAGAAUUUCUAUAUGUUUUCUUUUGGUUGCAAGAUCUGGACUUAUUUUCCAGUAAGAUAUUAUCAUUUACUACAGGUAUGAAGGAACUAUGUCUGUCAGGUUUCUGCAACUGGAAUAUGCACCACAACAGGACGAUUAACUCCAGCCUUCUAUGACCAGAUGACAGCUGUGGUAAAUGUGGGUUCUGCAUUAUAAAAUUAUGCUCCUUUCGUUGUUCAGCUUCAAGACUGCACAUUUGUGAGGGAAACUUUUACAGGCAUUUAUGUAGAACACCGCCCUGGUCUACGGCGAUAUAGUAGAUGGAUCUAUACAGGGCUGGCAAUGGUCUCAACUGCACUUAUGCUCCCUUUAAUCUUCUGGGUAAUAUAUGGGCGAGAGAGACGCCGUCGCCUUUAUACAAAACAGUUAAGUGAGGCUCCUGAAGCAGACAGAGACUCUUGAGAGAAGCUUUUCUUUCACUUUUUGUGCGGGAAUGGGAAUGGUUGUUUCUUUGCAGUUGUGGUCCGCAGCUUCACUCUAUGUUGCAGGUCCUUUAGUGUGGUUUGUCCAUAUAAAACUGUAACCAAUCCACGCCAGUAAUCAAAGAAUCCAGGUCCAUAAGUGGGUUGUACCUUGUAGUGCUAAAAGACUCGCAUGAUCAGAUUGAAAGGAUUUGUUUCGGGGAAAUUUCAUUACAUGUAGACUUGGGUUAAAUUCCUUCCAUGCCAUGAUGAUUCGUUUCAUGUUUUUUGAUAUUUUCUUUCCACAACCAAAUGAAGGGGAACUUCAAUUUCUGUUUGUUGAUCCCAUUUCAAGAACCAUGUUAAUAAGGCCUUCAAUACACAAAUUUUCCUAUACUUACCGCACUAAAAUAUUAAAUUAUUAAGAGUAAAUGUUUUAUAAAAUUAAUAAAACUUAACUCAUAAAUUUGAGGAUUCCGAAAAGCUACGAAAGAUAAUGUUAUGUACAUAUAACUGUUUAUUCAUGAGCACUUUUGAAAAAUAAUAGAAUUAGAUGGUUUUUUUAUUAGGUUAAAAAAUUUAUACAAGAAGUGUGUAUAUUUUUAUGUUUAUAUAACCUUUUCCAUAAAUAAAUGUUUUUGAGCAAAAUGACCGAGCAUGUCAAUCCCAUUGACUUAUUGCUACGGCCGACAAAUAAUAGGGGCUUAAAUUUAUUCUAAAAUUGGGCUGCACAGACUAAAAGCACCGUCUAAAAUGAAAACAAAACCCAGCCUGUAUUCAAUAUUCAAAGGUUUUGUCAGUUAGAGAAUAACUUCGACAUGCCUUGUCUUGGUCCAAGUGUCCAUCGCGCUUCGGCUCACCCUCUACAGUAAAAAAACUUCUGGGCUCCGUGAUAUCAUUCCAGUCUAAGCCCUUGAAUAUAGCUUUGAUAAAUUGCGACUCGUUCCAUACAGAAAAUGCUGACCAAUCAGUUCUUGAUAAAGACGAAGAAUUCACCGUCAUUCCGCGUGGUCGACUUAGUGAAGCCACUUGUGUAAUAAAGGAGCAUAUAAUAAGUCAAACAAACUCCUCGUCUGAACAAAUGCGAUGUCUCUGCUAGAGAUUGACUGAGGAUUCUCUAAUCAGCAGCCUUUGCAAUGAGCUGAUAAUCAUGAUGGUCAAGAAAUGGAGUAAACCAAUGGUUUGGGUAAUCUCUUUCGCUUGUAGACCAUCUCCUAUGCACUGUCCCCAUUGGUGCCUGCUAUUAUUAUAUAUAAAUUAGAACGUAACCUUUCCAUUUCCAUCUCAAAUAGGUCCAUGUAAUUAAUAUAGGGAUGGACCAUUCGAGAAUUUGUCGAUUUGAGGCACUCGAUUGACUAAUCCAAAGGUCCGCAAAAGCAACUUCUAUAUAUAUCAAUAUCUUCUUUCUCAGCUGCAGCAACCAAUAGAUUCUUUCAAACCAUGAAGUGGAUUUUCUGGUGCUGGCUUUCUUUGGUCCUGGUACAGUUAAACGAUUACCAAUGCUUUGGUUGCCAUGAGGAAGAGAGGCUUGCUCUUUUGAAACUCAAAACAUCUUUCUAUCCGGACGAGAGCUAUGCUCCUCCAUCUUGGGAGGAUAAUGAUAGUGACUGUUGUGGUUGGGAAAACGUGGUGUGUGACAAAGAAACGAAACAAGUAAGUAAGCUUUUUCUUAACAGCUCAUGGGAUCCCCUUGAAGUAUAUGAAGAUGUGUAUCUGGAUGCCACCCUUUUUCUUCCAUUUAAGGAUCUGACUUCCCUAAACUUGUCUUCAAACAUGUUUUCUGGUUUGGCUGAUAAUGAUGGUACUAGAAACUUCUUUUUUUCAGUUUAUCAUUUCAGGAUUCUGUUUUUCUGCUGUGAAAUAGGAAGGAAGUUUAAAUAUUCAUUUUUUUCGAAUUCUCUUCGUUCAACAGGCUUUGAAAGAUUGUCUAAACUGAACAAGUUGAGAUUCCUUGAUUUGAGCGGGGGCAACUUUAAUGACAGCAUCUUUGCACAUGUUGGAGCAAUCUCUUCACUUACUACUUUGUAUUUGGCUUCGAACUUAAUGACCGGAGCGACUCAUUUCCAAGGUAUGUUCAUUCUUCCAUUUUACUUUGGACCCAAGAAUCUCUAUCUCAUGUAACUUUGCUCGUGUCAUGAUAUUGUUCUCUGAAGAACUGCCUGCUCUGUCUAACUUGGAGGAGUUGGACUUGAGUGAGAAUUUGUUAGAAAGCUUCAUGGAGAUUCAAGGUACACCACCAAUGUUUAAUUACAUUUUGCACUCGAUGGUUUCCUAGUCGACCUCUGGUUUAGCUGAUUUCUAUUUCAGGUCUUAAAAAAUUGAGCAAACUGAAAGUCCUGAACCUAAACUCAAAUAAGCUCAACAUGAGUACUUUACUGUCUCUCGGGAAUCUCCAUUCGCUCAAGAGGCUUUAUAUCAACGAUAAUAGCUUGGAAGGAUCCAUUGCUAUUGAAGGUACGCACAACUAAAAAAAAAUAAGGGCAGCCCGGUGGAUAAAGCACUCCGGCUAUCUGCGAGUUCGGGGAAGGGUCUAUUGUACGCAUGUUUUAUCAUACCUUGAUUUUUCUACCUUCCUUCCUUUCUAGGACUUAACAGUUUGAGAAACUUGGAGGUCUUGGAUGUCUCUUCCAGUAAUAUUAGCAGCAACUUUCUUCAGGUUUUAGACUACAUGAUAUCCCUUAAAGGCUUAUCCUUGCGUGAUAAUAGUCUCAAUGGCACCACGGAUUUGCUUGGUAAUUUUAGUUGUACUUGAAACCAAGUGUUUUAAUUGAAUUAAAUUAACAAGUAUUUAUUGUAUUAACUUUGUUUUCUAACAAUUUUGGCAGGCUUGUGCAAACUUAGGGAUCUUGAAGAGUUGGAUCUCAGUCAUAACAGUUUCAAAGGCACAAUCCCUUCCUGUGUUGAAACCUUGACAUCCCUUCGAGUUCUGGAUAUCUCUAGAAACAGGUUUUCGGGGAACAUCAGUUCAUCUUUCAUCUCUAGCCUCAUUUCCCUUGAGUUUCUUUCCCUUUCUCACAAUGUAUUCCAAAGUUUGGCCCCAUUUUCCUCAUUUGCUAACCAUUCUAAGCUUGAGGUCUUUGAGCUUAUCGGUAAUAACAAUGGGUUAAUGGUUGAAAUCGAUGAUCAUAAUUGGGUUCCACGCUUCCAACUGAAGAUCUUCCGUCUUUCAGGCUGUUCAGUUGAUGAAGGAUCCAUGUUCAAAUUUCUUUCUUACCAAUAUGAUCUUAGAGUGAUUGAUCUCUCUGAUAACAACUUGGA